rnacentral:rRNA from 1 species
GGGGGGCAGCAGUGGGGAAUAUUGCACAAUGGGCGGAAGCCUGAUGCAGCAACGCCGCGUGCGGGAUGACGGCCUUCGGGUUGUAAACCGCUUUCGCCUGUGACGAAGCGUGAGUGACGGUAAUGGGUAAAGAAGCACCGGCUAACUACGUGCCAGCAGCCGCGGUGAUACGUAGGGUGCGAGCGUUGUCCGGAUUUAUUGGGCGUAAAGGGCUCGUAGGUGGUUGAUCGCGUCGGAAGUGUAAUCUUGGGGCUUAACCCUGAGCGUGCUUUCGAUACGGGUUGACUUGAGGAAGGUAGGGGAGAAUGGAAUUCCUGGUGGAGCGGUGGAAUGCGCAGAUAUCAGGAGGAACACCAGUGGCGAAGGCGGUUCUCUGGGCCUUUCCUGACGCUGAGGAGCGAAAGCGUGGGGAGCGAAUAGGCUUAGAUACCCUGGUAGUCCACGCUGUAAACGGUGGGUACUAGGUGUGGGGUCCAUUCCACGGGUUCCGUGCCGUAGCUAACGCUUUAAGUACCCCGCCUGGGGAGUACGGCCGCAAGGCUAAAACUCAAAGGAAUUGACGGAA